rnacentral:rRNA from 1 species
AACGAACGCUGGCGGCAUGCCUAACACAUGCAAGUCGAACGAACACUUCGGGUCUUUUGGCCCACGGCUGCGUAACGCGAGGGAACCUGCCCUUAUGGUCGGAAUAACUCUCCGAAAGGGGUGCUAAUACCGGAUAAUGUCUUCUGACCAAAGAUUUAUCGCCUUUGGAGGGGCCCGCGUUGGAUUAGCUUGUUGGUAGGGUAAAAGCCUACCAAGGCGCCGAUCCAUAGCUGGUUUGAGAGGAUGAUCAGCCACACUGGGACUGGGACCCGGCCCAGACUCCUACGGGAGGCAGCAGUGGGGAAUAUUGGACAAUGGGCGAAAGCCUGAUCCAGCAAUGCCGCGUGAGUGAUGAAGGCCUUAGGGUUGUAAAGCUCUUUUACCCGGGAUGAUAAUGACAGUACCGGGAGAAUAAGCUCCGGCUAACUCCGUG